GGGGACAAACGAGACAUUUGCAAGUCAAUUAGUGACAGAACUUUCCCAGGACAGUUUCAUCCAGGCUCAGCUUUAGACAGGGCCACAUGCUGGGUCAUCCCGUCCCUCCCCGGCCUGUGCCCAGCGGCUGGCAGCUCAGGGACAGAGGCGGGCCUGACGUUGCCUCGGCCACUUGCCCUCUCUGAAGCUAGAGCCUCCAGUCUGGGUUAUGGCUGCAUUGUACCUUCACCCUGCCUGUACAGCUGAGCUGGGAGAGAAGGAGCUGCGCUUGCCCAGUCUUAGCUUUCUCGUCUGGAAAAUGGGGACACCAACAGAAGCUCUUUCCCAGAUCCGCCGGGGGAAUUAAAUGAGCUCCAACAACUGGCCAUCUUGUUUCAUCCCUACUCCCACCUCUCCUCCGACCCGGUCAUUUUGAAGCAAAUCACACACCACGGCUCCUUGGUUGGACAGCGUGACUUAAGCCAAGGCCAGAGGAGGCCAGCAAGCCAACCGGGUGGCCAUUUAGGAGGUGAGCAUUGUGGACAGGGCGAUGACGGCAUGUACACGCCUUCUUACACCUGACUACACCGUGGCACAGGCCUGUAAUCCCAGCUCUCAGGAGGCUGAGGAAGGAGGAUCGCCAGGUUCAAGGCCAGCCCGUGCAACUUAGUGAGACCCUGUCUCAAAAAAACUUGAAAAUAAAAUAAAAAGGAAAAGAGGAUGUAGCUCAGUGGCCAAGUGCCCCUGGAUCCAAUCCAGUACCCAAA